rnacentral:rRNA from 1 species
GACGAACGCUGGCGGCGUGCCUAAUACAUGCAAGUCGAGCGCAGGAAGCCGUCUGAACCCUUCGGGGGGACGACGGUGGAAUGAGCGGCGGACGGGUGAGUAACACGUAAAGAACCUGCCCACGGGUCUGGGAUAACCACGAGAAAUCGGGGCUAAUACCGGACGGGUCAUCGGACCGCAUGGUCCGAGGAUGAAAGGCGCUCCGGCCUCGCCCGUGGAUGGCUUUGCAGUGCAUUCGCUAGUUGGUGGGGUAACGGCCCACCAAGGCGACGAUGCAUAGCCGACCUGAGAGGGUGAUCGGCCACACUGGGACUGAGACACGGCCCAGACUCCUACGGGAGGCAGCAGUAGGGAAUCUUCCACAAUGGACGAAAGUCUGAUGGAGCAACGCCGCGUGAACGAUGAAGGCCCUCGGGUCGUAAAGUUCUGUUGUAAGGGAAGAACAAGUGCCGCAGGCAAUGGCGGCACCUUGACGGUACCUUGCGAGAAAGCCACGGCUAACUACGUGCCAGCCGCCGCGGUAAAAC